rnacentral:rRNA from 1 species
AGACCUUACCAGGUCUUGACAUCCUCUGACAAUCCUAGAGAUAGGACGUUCCCCUUCGGGGGACAGAGUGACAGGUGGUGCAUGGUUGUCGUCAGCUCGUGUCGUGAGAUGUUGGGUUAAGUCCCGCAACGAGCGCAACCCUUGAUUUUAGUUGCCAGCAUUCAGUUGGGCACUCUAAGGUGACUGCCGGUGACAAACCGGAGGAAGGUGGGGAUGACGUCAAAUCAUCAUGCCCCUUAUGACCUGGGCUACACACGUGCUACAAUGGAUGGUACAAAGGGCUGCAAAACCGCGAGGUCGAGCCAAUCCCAUAAAACCAUUCUCAGUUCGGAUUGCAGGCU